rnacentral:rRNA from 1 species
UGAGUACGAGAGGCUACGGCCUCGAAGCAGUCUAUGUCAUACUUCCAAGAAAAGCUUGCAAUGUCAGAAACAAAUAAUGCCUGUACCAUAACCGACACAGGUGGGUAGGUAGAGUAUACUAAGGGGCGCGAGAUAACUCUCUCUAAGGAACUCGGCAAAAUGACUCCGUAACUUCGGGAGAAGGAGUGCCUUAUUUAUAAGGUUGCAAUAACAAGAUCCAAGCAACUGUUUAUCAAAAACACAGGUCUCCGCUAAGUCGUAAGACGAUGUAUGGGGGCUGACGCCUGCCCAGUGCCAGAAGGUUAAAGAAGUUGGUUAGCAUUCGCAAAGCUGAUAACUGAAGCCCUGGUGAACGGCGGCCGUAACAAUAACGGUCCUAAGGUAGCGAAAUUCCUUGUCGGGUAAGUUCCGACCCGCACGAAAGGCGUAAUGAUUUGGAUACUGUCUCGGAGAGGGGCUCGGUGAAAUAGACUUGUCUGUGGAGAUGCGGACUACCUGCACCAGGACAGAAAGACCCUAUGAAGCUUUACUGUAACUUGAAAUUGAAAUUGGACUUUAUUUGCGCAGUAUAGGUGGGAGGCGUUGAUAAUAUUCUUGUGGGAAUAUUGGAGCCAUCAGUGAGAUACCACUCUUGUAAUGUUAGAUUUCUAACUUUGUAUCAUUAUCUGGUCAAAGAACAGUUUCAGGCGGGCAGUUUGACUGGGGCGGUCGCCUCCCAAACGGUAACGGAGGCGUACAAAGGUUUCCUCUGAACGGGUAGAAAUCGUAUCUAGAGUAUAAAGGCAUAAGGAAGCUUGACUGUGAGACCUACAAGUCGAGCAGGGACGAAAGUCGGUCUUAGUGAUCUGACGGUGCUGAGUGGAAAGGCCGUCACUCAACGGAUAAAAGUUACUCUAGGAUAACAGGCUGAUCUCCCCCAAGAGUUCACAUCGACGGGGAGGUUUGGCACCUCGAUGUCGGCUCAUCGCAUCCUGGGGCGGUAGUACGUCCCAAGGGUUGGGCUGUUCGCCCAUGAAAGCGGUACGCGAGCUGGGUUCAGAACGUCGUGAGACAGUUCGGUCCAUAUCCGGUGUAGGCGUUAGAAUAUUGAGAGGAGCCUUCUUUAGUACGAGAGGACCGAGAAGGACAUACCUCUGGUGUACCAGUUAUCGUGCCAACGGUAAACGCUGGGUAGCUAUGUAUGGAGAGGAUAACCGCUGAAAGCAUCUAAGUGGGAAGCCCACCUCAAGAUAAG